rnacentral:lncRNA from 13 species
CUUCCGCGCACGCGGGCGCCACCCGCGAUGCGCGCACCCACGGCAGGGCAAAGCGCGUUCCCGUGUCCAGCCGCCACGGUGCGGACCGGCCGCGGGGGAAGGUUCUCCCGCUCUCCGGUGGGGAAAGGAUCUCCCCGUCUUGGCUUCCACAAUCCCGUUUUCGGGACAUCCCCUCACCCCACAGACACCCGCGAAAACCACCGACGGGGAGGGAACCUCCGGCAGCGCAGGCGACAGCCGCGCUCCCACGCGUGUCCGCUCCUGCCCUGCGGGCAGGCUCCGGAGGGCAGCCGCCGUGACGGGCGGGGGACGGCGACACGGUGCGGGGCCAAGGGGUCGAGUUUUCGUUGCGGCUUCGCCGCGGAGCCGGUGCGUGACCAAGUCGUGGCCGCACGGUGCCGCGUGCCCACGGCCCGAUUACUUUUCUAUAUUUUAUUUUUAUUUUAUUUUAAACCGAAAGCAAAACCGGGCGCUGCGGGAGCGGCUGCGGGGCUGGUGCUCCUCCGGCGUGUCGGGCUGCGGGGGAUGACCGGCCGCCCCUCUGCCGCGCUCCCCCGGGCUCGGAGUCGCCGCUGCCUCGGCGGGCACCGGGCGGGGGCUGCGGGCACGUGCACGGCGCCACGGGCCGGGCGCGAUCGGGGCUGGCUGCCCUGCGCCCCCCGCGUGCCGCAGGUGAGGCCACACACCGGGCACCGCGGGCUCCGCUUCGGUCCCGCCGCCCUGCGGAACCUCCGACCGUGCCCCGCGCCGCCUGCCCCGGGGCUCCCCGGGGGGGGGAUUCAGCGGGCUCCGCCGAGCAGCCAUUUUCUGCAGCUGCUUCUCCACCAGAGCUCAGCCGGGCGGCGGGGCCGGGCGGCGGCACAGCCCAGGGGACCCCCCGCCCCUCUGCCCUCCGCCGGGACGGGCGCCCCGAGCCCGGGCGGGCGGGGCCGGGGAUGGCCAGGCUACGCCGCAGGGCUCGCCGUGACAAUCCCACCCUUUCCCCGCCAUUUUGUUACCGUGCUGGCGUUUUCCCAAAGCAGAGACAGAGCGGGAGCCUUGGGAACGGGCCCCCGUUGUGCCGGGGCGGACGCCCCCCGCGACCCGUGUCCCCGUUCCCUCCCACCCCCGCCGCGCCGCACCUGGCAGCGGGGCUAGUCCCGGGACGCGCGGCCACCGCCGGCACCUUCCCACCGGGAUCGCCUCGCUCCCAUUCGCGCCCCGCGCACGCAGCACACGAGGGUCGUGACUGCCCGAGUCCAUGCAGGACCCUGCCACGCGGGGCUGGCACCGAGUUCCGGGCCGCUGUCCCCAAGCGGAGGGACGCCGGAGCGCGGUCCCCGGCUUCCCUUCCCGAUGGACCGGGGACGCGGGGCCGGUCACCUCCUUCCACCCCAUGGGCAGCGCAAGUGCCCUGACGACCGAGGGGACACUCCCAUCGGGGAGGGACCGUCGCGGGGCCGUGCCGACCGGCACAGCACCCUUCAGCCUUGCCCGGUCUCGAUAGCGGUCCCGGCUCCCCGCGGGACCACCCCAAACGCCCUCGCGGGAAACCCGUGGGGACAGUGGUUGGCCCACGAGAGGCCGGGCGCCCCGUCGGGGCUGACGGCAUGGCCAGACCGCCGGGGAGGGUGGCAGGGGUACGGAGGGACGAACCGCGGGACAGCACUGGCGGCGGGGGGACGGGCAGACAGGACAGCGAAUGCCCCGACGGGGGCGGCCGGUCCCUCCACCAGAGCGGGGUUGAUGAGCGCCGGGUUGACACCAACCAGGGAACCCCGCCGGUGGGUGCACGUCCCUCUCCCACGGCCGCAUUCCCGGGUCGAGGGAGGCGGUCGGAUGUGGCACUACGCGGGAGACCCCGGCGCGACGGCAACUGAUGCCCCGUGGGAGUGGGAGCGGAGCGCGGCGGGGCCGGUGCGUGCCCCGGGCUGGGCCUCCGGAGCCGAACGGCGGCGGAGGGCGGAGAAGGGAGCGGGGAAGGAGGGGGCUCCUGCAGUGCUGCAAUGCAGCGCCGCGCCGAGCCCGCCGGCCCGGCCGCGCUCCGCCGCCCGUCACUGCGGCAAUGCGGAUGGAAGCCCCGCCCGAGCUGGGCCGAACCGGUCCGGGCAUCCCCUGCCUGGUCGGGCCGCACCCUGCCCCAGACGCGCCGGAGUGCCGCUCUCCCCCGCUUCCUCAGGCCCGUUUCGUUUUCCUCCUGCCUCUGCCGGGACCGCGGCACGUUUCCUCCCGCGGCGGGACGCAGCCGGCUGGUGUCCCCGGGAUCGCCCCCUCGCCUUGUCUUUGACGGGGGCGGGGGGGGGAGUGCUUAUCCUGCCUCCGGCGCUGGACGCCAGCUAACGUCGCCAGCAGCCACCCUGGUGGCCCCCUCCAGCACCCUGGCUUCUCGCUGCGGCUCCCCUCGACGCCGGGAUUUGCGAAGCCCCCGGUGCUGCACCGACUCGGGGCGGAUCCCUGAUCUCUGCCCUGCUCCGUUCCAGCUUCUCCCGGGAGAAUCUCCCUCCUCCCUACCUAGCUUCCGGGCCCCCCACCAUCUCUGUUUCCCCAUCUCCUUCUCCCUGUCCCCGCUGACCCCUCUGCUCAGUCCAGCAACAAACAGCGCUGCGGGGCCCCAGGCGGGGUGGGGGUCCCACCUCGGCUUCUCUUCCCCGCGGCUGCCGUCUGACACUCGGGGAAGGGGAAGCCCCACGCCGCAGCCCCCUCCCCGCCCCCGAGGUGCCCAUGUGUGGUGGUGUGCGGGCAGCGCCCUGGAGAGAAGGGAUUCAGCUUAUAAAAGCCACUGAUAAAGGCACAAACCCAGCAGGGUACAGCGGACCAUGAGGUGCAUAAAAAAAACGUGCUUAAGACUGGGGGACCACUAUAAGCCCCCACCACCCGCCCCUGUCCCACAGGCUCUGGAUCACCCCCUCUCUGACUUUUGCCGCAGCAACCUGGGGCUGGAUCCAGGAAUUCUCUCCCAGCCAUGCCAGGCAAACCGGGUUCUGCCCUCCCACCUGGAUGUUUUUUUUCUGACGCGGUGAAAAUGGCACCGCAUUCCAGCUCCAGCUCCUGCUGGUGCGGACUCAGCCGCUGGAUCCUGCCGUGUCUGCAUUUAGUGGAUGAAAGCUCAGCCGAGCAUCUGAAUUUCUUCCCUGAGAGAGCUUUACGGGCUGAUCAAGAUGUCCUUAACCUUCCCUUCGGGAGGCCGGGCACCCCCGCGGCUCACUCUGGGGCUCCCCGCGCUCCCCGCCAUCCCUCCGUGUCUCCCCGACUCCUCUCCAAUAUUUCAAUGUCUCUUCUCAGCUACCGGAGGCUGUUCCACGCGAAAGCGGGCUCACCAGUGCCACACACCGAGCAGUACCGCCGCCCCCCUCUGCCUUCGGUCGCCUGCACACACGGGGAACCCUCACCGGUGGCGGUGCCGUCCCUGUCCCUGUGCCCGUCCCUGUCCCCCGCCCGCCAAGUGGCACAGCUCCCGGUGGCACCGAGAGAGCGGCUGUACGCGGCGGUUCUUGCCGCGGAGGUUUGUUGUUCAACUCCUCGGGCAGUGUUGAAUGUGGACGGGGACAGAGCGAUCCCUGACCGCAAACCGGGUGCUGGCGGGGGGGCCCCGUCCCCCGGGCAGGUUCAGCCUUGGCUCCUCGGCUCCUCCUGCCAUGGUUCCUCUCCGGGAGCAGGGAAACGGGGACACUUCGGGAGCUCACCCUGCCCCGGUGGGGGAAGGUCCCGGGACCCCCCAGGGAUGGCUAAGCCCCUUAGCCCCCCACCAGGCGGCUGCCGGGCUGGUUCUCUGCAACAACCUCCCCGCUCAUCGCAGCCCCUUCUGAGGCUGAGCCCCUCGCAGGACGCGGUCCCAGGUGCCCCCACGCAGGUUCCUCGCCCCGUGGAGCUCCAGCUCUCAGCGGGCUGUGCUGGCCGCUCGUAGCCCACGACACGGGGGUGCUGCUGUUCACGGCCCCUGUGCCACCCCCCAGCUCUGCGUCCUGAUCUCCCAGCGCUUGGGACGUGGCACCAGCAGCCAUUCUCAGUCACGGGGACCGUGG